AUUGAACGCUGGCGGCAUGCGUAACACAUGCAAGUCGAACGGUGUUUGGUGCUUGCACCAGACAUAGUGGCGGACGGGUGAGUAAUGCGUAGGAAUCUGUCUUAGAGAGGGGGACAACCCGAGGAAACUUGGGCUAAAACCGCAUAUUCUCGAGAGAGGAAAGCAGGGGACCGGAAACGGCCUUGUGCUCUAAGGUGAGCCUACGUCGGAUUAGCUAGUUGGUAGGGUAAAAGCCUACCAAGGCGAUGAUCUGUAGCUGGUCUGAGAGGACGGACAGCCACACUGGGACUGAGACACGGCCCAGACUCCUACGGGAGGCAGCAGUGGGGAAUAUUGGACAAUGGGGGAACCCUGAUCCAGCGAUGCCGCGUGUGUGAAGAAGGCCUGCGGGUUGUAAAGCACUUUCAGUGGGAAAGAGAAGCGUCUUGUGAAUAAUGGGACGUGGAGACGUUACUCACAGAAGAAGCACCGGCUAACUCUGUGCCAGCAGCCGCGGU
rnacentral:rRNA from 1 species